rnacentral:rRNA from 1 species
UACGAAGGUGGCAAGUGUUGUUCGGAUUUACUGGGCGUACAGGGAGCGUAGGCGGUUGGAUAAGCCCUCCGUGAAAUCUCCAGGCUUAACCUGGAAAGUGCAGAGGGGACUGUUCAGCUAGAGGAUGGGAGAGGAGCGCGGAAUUCCCGGUGUAGCGGUGAAAUGCGUAGAGAUCGGGAGGAAGGCCGGUGGCGAAGGCGGCGUUCUGGACUGUUACUGACACUGAGGAACGAAAGCCAGGGGAGCAAACGGG